rnacentral:rRNA from 1 species
CCUACGGGAGGCAGCAGUGAGGAAUAUUGGUCAAUGGGCGGGAGCCUGAACCAGCCAAGUCGCGUGAGGGAAGACGGUCCGAUGGAUUGUAAACCUCUGUAGGCGGGGAGCAAGGCCGGGCACGCGUGCCCGGAGGGAGAGUACCCGCAGAAAAAGCAUCGGCUAACUCGGUGCCAGCAGCCGCGGUAAUACGGAGGAUGUGAGCGUUAUCCGGAUUGAUUGGGUUUAAAGGGUGCGUAGGCGGAUUUUUAAGUCAGCGGUAAAAUGUACGGGCUCAACCCGGGCCGGCCGUUGAAACUGGGGAUCUUGAGUGGGCGAGAAGUAGGCGGAAUGCGUGGUGUAGCGGUGAAAUGCAUAGCUAUCACGCAGAACUCCGAUUGCGAAGGCAGCAUACCGGCGCCCGACUGCCGCUGAGGCACGAAAGCGUGGGGAUCGAACAGGAUUAGCUACCCCAGUAGUC